UACGGAGGGUGCGAGCGUUGUCCGGAAUCACUGGGCGUAAAGGGCGCGUAGGUGGCGACGCAAGUCAACGGUGAAAACUCGACGCUCAACGUCGAGUCGGCCGUCGAGACUGCGUUGCUCGAGCACUGUAGAGGCAGAUGGAAUUCCGGGUGUAGCGGUGGAAUGCGUAGAGAUCCGGAAGAACACCGGUGGCGAAGGCGGUCUGCUGGGCGAGUAGCUGGACACUGAGAGACGAAGCUAGGGAGCGAAUGGG
rnacentral:rRNA from 1 species